rnacentral:tRNA from 1 species
UGGUAUAGUGGUAUGUAUCCCCGCCUGUCACGUGGGAGAUCGGGGUUCGAUUCCCUG